CACACACACACCUCUCUUUCUAAAG
rnacentral:misc_RNA from 1 species